CCAGCCCUGGUGGUUUUGGUCAGCAUCUUUACAGUAAGCCGUGGGGAAGUGUGGAGUUGCUCGAGUGUGGCAGUGCUUUUGGCCUUGAGCCCCACACGCAGGUCACUUUCAUCAGAACAGGAAAACGAAACAGGCUCCCCUGAAUGAUUUAUGGGAGGGCUUGUGUUUUGGGGAUGUGAUACUGCAAUUUGUGUUAUAGGACCAAGACAUCUGUUUCCAGGGAGGUGCGUUCUCUUACCAUGAGCCUUUCCCACGAGGGAUCUUUCGCCCCGGCCCGACUCCCAGUUCCAGCCUGAACACUGGUCAACUGAAGACAACGCUGCCGCCUUCAUCUCUUCCCUGCCUGUCCUGCUUACAACAACAGCUGUAAGAAGUUUAUACCCACAUUAAGCCCCCAGAGGCAGGCUGGCAGCCAGCCUUUGCCACUGGUGUAGAGAACUGAGUCAACCACCCGGGGUUCCUGGCUGCUCCCCCUGAGACCCUUUCCCAGCCUGUUCCCUGAGACAAGAGUCUUGGCUGGGCACCUGCUGCACUGUGGACGUGCGGAUGCGGCCUCCAGAAGCAGGAGGGGAGCCAUGGCUGGCUUUUCUGAGAUGUGUUGAGUGGCUUGUCAUUGAAGACUGUUUCCCCACUCAGGCAGCUGCAUGCCCCAAAACAUGGAGAAUCCAUAAAGAUUCCUGAGCAUGUGCUUGAGUCAUUCUUCUUGAAAUUCUCCAGUGAGUGGGAACUCCCUAUUUCAUCCAAGAACUCAUGAGGAUGAGCUUCUUGGAAGCAGUAGGAAUUGAUCUGGGGCUUCAAGGAUCAGAAUGUAGAAGGCAUUCUGGAUGGAGGGAAGAACGAGUCUGGUGUUGAUGGGCCCUGGGGAAGGAUUCUGAGCAUGAGAGAGCAUAUCCAUGCUGUGCGUUGGGAAGACAGCUCUGGCUGUGCUAUUUAGGAUAGGCUGGAGGAGGGUUGCUUGAAGCGGCGUGGCAAGGUAGGAGGCCCUCACAAUUGUCCCAAGAAGAGAUUCUGAAAGCCUGACUUAGUUGGUAGUAAAAGGAAUGGAAAGGCACACUGCAAAGACUCAUUCCUCUCCCAUCCCUGAGGUCCUCUUUGCUUGGAUUUGAACAAAACAAAACAAGACAAAACAACCAACAAACUUUUGACUCACUUGCCAGUCUCGAGGGAAGAG
rnacentral:lncRNA from 1 species